UUAUUAAGCUGCGCAGGAAUGAAAGCAAGAAGAGUUACUAAAGCUGCGCUGCAUAAUUUUCUAAGCGGUGCUGCGGGAUAUCUAAGCUGGUCUUCAACACAGGAACUCUACAUCCCAGCACAGAAUGUCUAAGCCGUAAUGUAACAAAGGUAACCCACUAACUAGUGGUGAUCCAGGUACUUCGCAGGCCUAUAAUUUCUCACUACAUGAUCUUAGAACAUUUCAUCGAAGCAUGUAAGCAUGAUUGAGAUUUGAAAAAUGUUAUACUUUACCACUUGAGAAAAAUCAUGAUUUAUAUUAUGUCUUGGAAGCUGCACAACUUCUGCAUAUGUGCCUAGGGUUGAAAUAUGAAUUGACUAAAUAUACGAAGCUGCACAACUUCUGCAUAUGUGCUAGAGCCUGGAACAUAAUUUAGAUAACAUACUUUGGGACCAUAGAGUCAUACUAGCCCUGUCACUAGCAUCACAAGUAGGAACACCAAUCACAAGCAUACACAUAACAUGUUUAUUUAAAUCACGCACAUGUUACCAAGAGGGAGGGAGUAGGGUAUAUAUGUUGCCAUCUGUAUUUUUCCUGAAAAUUUGCAGCUUGAUCAAUAAUGGUUGACAACACUGGAAAACCUGCUUCGGUAGAAAAUGAGCUUUAGUGGCAAUUCAGCCACGCUACGGAGGGGAAAGCGUUAAGUGGAAUUUGGGUCUUCUCAGCGCAGUCAGGACAUUUAUCUCAGCGCAGCCAUCUCAGUUAUCUCAGCUAUCUCAGCGCAGCCAUGUCAGUUAUCUCAGCUACCUCAGGGCAGCUACCUCAGCGCAGCUAUCUUAGAGCAGCUAUCUAGUUAUCUCAGCUACCUCUGCGCAGCUAUCUCAGCGCAGCCAUCUCAGUUAUCUCAGCUAUCUCAGGGCAGCUACCUCAGCGCAGCUAUCUCAGAGCAGCUAUCUCAGUUAUCUCAGCUACCUCAGGGCAGCCACCUCAGUGCAAUUAUCUCAGCGCAGCUAUCUCAGUUAUCUCAGUAGUUUUCAGCGCAGAAUGUCCGAGCCGUUGUCAGUUCAGAAUGUCUAUGCUCCGCGCAGGAAUAUCGUAAGCCGCGAAAGUUAGACAGGGUUCUUUGAUUGUCUAUGCUCCGCGCAGGAAUAUCGUAAGCCGCGAAAGUUAGACAGGGGUGUACCAUCUUGAGGGCCGCUUCGGCGGGGGUGUACCAUCUUGAGGGCCGCUUCGGCGGAAGUGUAANNNNNNNNNNNNNNNNNNNNNNNNNNNNNNNNNNNNNNNNNNNNNNNNNNNNNNNNNNNNNNNNNNNNNGCGCAGGAAUGAAAGCAAGAAGAGUUACUAAAGUUGCGCUGCAUAAUUUUCUAAGCGGUGCUGUGGGAUAUCUAAGCUGGUCUUCAACACAGGAACUCUACAUCCCAGCACAGAAUGACUAGAGAAAGAAACAAAGGUAACACACGAACGAGUGGAGAUACAGGUACUUCGCAGAACUGAAAUUUCUCACUACAUGAUCUUAAG
rnacentral:lncRNA from 1 species